rnacentral:lncRNA from 1 species
GUGCGGGUCCGGCUGACCGAGAGGCCACACUGGGCCCUGGGCCCUGCCCCGCCGUCGCCACCUCUCCACUUCCUGCCAGCCCCACAGCUGCCCGCCAGGCAGGGCACAAGGGCCCAUUAUGACGUCACGGUGAGAACCAGCAAAGGGCUCACUGUCAUGCAGACGGCUGCGUCCCCAGCAAGCACCCAUGCGGCCUACCCUGUGCCUGCCUAGCAGAAGGGGCAGCUGCACUUGGGGCGCAGCACACAGCACGCUGCCAGCACCACCAGCACCAGGGCACAGCGUCCUGGUGGAGCAGUGGUGUCCAGGGCCUGGCUUCCAGGGCUCCCGGUGCUAAAACAGCCAUCAGGGACGGAAGCCAGAUCCGUGGGGGUGACAGGCUCAGGGCUCCGUCCUCGCGCUGGGACUCCAGGCCCUGGCUAGGAGGAUGCAGGAGCCACAACUGGGCAGGGAGCCCCCGCCUGCACACAGUCUGCCCGUGGCACACACCUGCUGUGUAGAUGCCACCAGACCAGGGCGAAGACAGGGAUGGAGGCCAAGCCAGACCUCAGCUCCAAACCCGACCCAGGGUCUCACCUGGGCACCCAGGCCGGUGCUCCUCCUGGUCCCAGAGCCACACCUGCAGGCUGAACGCCACUGAAGCAACGAGGACGUGCCAGCCACACCACAGGCCUGACCACACAGUCCCACGAACACACCACUGCAGGUCAGGUGGUGUGCAUCGAAGAAACCCCGGCCCCUGCCAGCACUGACGGCGCCUGCCCGGGCACCCCAGAUACCACCCUUCUCACACCGGGGUCGGCAUGGAGCACACUCCCUGCGCCUGACACCUGUGAGCUUAGCACCAACCACGAAC